UUUGUCAGUACAAAUUUGUUAACGCAUUAUUUGUAACGCUAUUACCAUUACAGUUACUUUUUUUGUUGACGGACUGGUAACGGUAUUACUUUUCUUUAUCUGUAACUGUAACGUUAACGUAGUUUUUUGGGGAAAAGGAGUGACUUAAAGAUGCCUCUAAGCAUCAAUAUUUAGUUUUGUAAAUGUGUUUCAAGACUGACAAAAUUAUUGGCGCGCAGUUUAUACGAGCUGAGAAUAUUAAUUAAUGGAAAUUAUUAAUGGAAAAAUUAUUCAACAUCAAGAUUCGCCGCAGACCAUAUAGGUCACUCAACUUUAUUAAUAUAUUUUAAACAUUUAUUUACUAUUAUUCAUUUACUAUUAGCGUAGUUACAUUUUUUUAAUGACGGUUACGACUUUAAAGUUACAUUUAUUGUUACGUCUUAUAGUUUGAAUUUUAUACUUAUGACAUAUCGUAAUUUUUGUAAUUUUAGUUUUCAAUCAUCGAUUAAUUAUCCAGUUAUCUAAUAAAGGAAUUUUUACAAGACUCUUUAAAAUUAAAAAACGUUGUAAUAGUUAAAAGUAACAAUAAAUAAUACCUAAGUUAGAAAAAUGUAAGGCAUACCGUUUUCUUUAGAAAAAAAAUUAUUAAUACAGCUUUGUCAAGCAGUGCAUCCGUUAAAAGAUUAUGUAUUUAAUAUUGGUAAUUCCGUAUUGCUACCUUUUAGAAAUAAUUUAUAUGAUACACGAGCACCUAAGCUCCACAAAUUUUUUGAUAAUUUCAUUAUACAUAUUUAGGAGGAUUUAAUAACAGUGAUGUUUUAUUAUAGAGUGUUUUUUGUAGAUUUUGACUUCCUGAAUAGGAUAAAAUUAUUACAAAAUUUAAGGCUUGUUAGAAUAAGGAUAAGUAUAAUCAAUUUGACUUUGGUUUAACUUGAGACGUUUUAAUUAUUUAAUUUUUAUAAGUCGCGCCUCUCAUGUAACUUUUAGUUCCGCGCACAUUCUGCUCGUGGCGCUUUUCUUUGUGCUUCCGGCGUCUCUUCUCUUUGACUUCUGCUAUCCUUGUGAGUGUUCUGCUACCGUGCGUACUCUCUCUUGUACACUUACGAUAAAAUAUAUUUUGCUACAACGAAAUCUCGCGUGUCUUCGUCACCUGAUCCCAACAAGGCUCAAAGAACAUUUAAAAAAUUGAGCAAGAGAGAAUGAAAGUACGGACGAGGUAUAUUUCAUGUAUGUAUAUAUGCAAGAUGUAAGUAACUAAUUGCGAAGACAGAAGAAACUUGGAUAAUUACAUGAAAUUCGAUAAAAGGAUUAUUACAAAAAUCCAUCCAUUGAAACGGAAGGCGUGUUUAGGGAAAAA